UUUUUCUUUGAAGUUUUCGUAAGUAGUAAUCUAAUUUGGAUUUGUAGAUAGUUAGGGUUUUCAAACUUUUUGAGUUUCAAGGUUUGAAAGUUAGCCUCCUGAGGUUCCGUCUAUUUCAGAAAGAAUUUCAAGAGUUUGAUACCUGAACUUCAAGAUGCCGGCUACAGCGGGUAGGGUUCGCAUGCCUGCAAACAAUCGGGUGCAUAGUAGUGCAGCCCUCCAAACCCACGGUAUAUGGCAGAGUGCAAUUGGGUAUGACCCCUAUGCACCCAAUAAGGAUGAUGCUAAGAACUCUUCAAUGCCCAGUGCAUCUAACGCUGAACCAGAUGCUGAGAAUGCCUAUGCAAGCUUCCAAGGCCUCCUUGCACUUGCCCGUAUAACUGGGUCAAAUGCCAAUGAGGUUCGCGGGGUGUGCAAGAAGUGUGGCCGUGUUGGACACCUCACGUUUCAGUGCAGGAACUUUUUGAGUGUUAAGGGCGAUAGUAAGGAUAAAGACCCCGAAGUGAUUGAGGCUGCUGCAAUGGCUGAGUUGGAGAAGUUGACGGGGAAUGCAGGUAAGGGGAAAGGAAAAGGCGCAGUUGAGAGUUCAGAUGAGAGUGAGAGUGAGAGUGAGGGUUCGGAGUCAGAAGUCGAUUCAGAGAUUGAGAGGAUUAUUGCAGAGAGAAAUGGGAAAAAGCUCAGUAGUAAGGAAAGGUCAACAAAAAAGGGAUUAGAUGAAGAUGAGUCGAAUGGGGCUUCUAGGGAGAGGAAGAGGAGAGGAAGAUCUAAGAAGAGGAGUGGGAAGAGAGGAAUCAGUGAUUCAGAUGAUUCAGAUAGUGGUAGGAAGAGGAGAAAGAAGGACAGGCGGAGGGAUAGGGAUGAGUCCUCAGAUGAGGAUUAUGAGCGUCGUCGACGGCACAGGAAAAGUAGAAAGGAGAAGAGGAGGAGGAGAAGCCACCGAGAUUCGGAUUCUGAUUCAUAUGAAUCUGAGGGUUCUGCUGGAGAGCUUAAGCGCAAGAGCAGGAGGGCAGCUUCACCAUCUGAUUCUGAUGCCUCAGAUGAUUCAAGGGUCAGAAGGAGCAAGAAGAGAUAUGAGAAGAAGAACAGGAAACACAGGCAUGAUGACGAUGUUUAGAAUUCAUUUAGUGAAAGGAUAAUGGAUAUGGUGAUCUCCCAUAAAGUUUCCAAACCAGUGAUGGAACCCAAAUGGUGGACAAACCAAAUUCGUACCUGCUUAUGGUAAAAGGCCCCAGCAAAAAAGAACAGGAAAAGAAAAUACUGCAAGGUUGGAGGUGGUUAUUUCGCAUGGACAUACGGUAAAAAGUAGAUUUUGGUGAGCAAAAGCCAGCGGCAAAGAAUAAUAGAUUCAUUCAUAACAUUUCUACAGCACAAUGGUUGAGCAGGGUUGGAUCUCUAAAAGGAAGGAGCUGACCACUAGCUGGGAUAUUGAUGGUUACCUAGGAUUGCAUAUGUAACAUAUGGGAUGAAUAAUUUUCGAAAAAAAAAAAAAAAUCAUUUUGAUUGACUCGACUGAGAACUAAUUAUCAUUAAUAGGUUUCCAACUAAUGAUGGGCCAGUGUCGAUGAUAGAUUAAAUCUUGGACUACAUAUCAUUAGCCAUCAGACUAAGACCAUUGCUAUCAAAGCUAUAUAGAAUGGUAUACAAAAUACGAGAGGUGCUUUCUAGCGACAUUCUAUCCAAUCAACUGAUUAAAGUAAUUGGUAAAGUCAUUUUUGAAUCAUUACUGAGUUGAAAUUAAAAUCUUCUGCGGUUGACAAUCCCUGUUUGGACGAUGGUAGAUUGUGUUUGUUGUCUCCGGAAAACCCAAAGCACCCUCCUGUGUAAUGCUCUUCCCUUCUCUCCACCCCCAUCCUAAUCAACCCCUCCCCUCCAUCCUCCUGUACAUUUUUUCAUCCCCUUUUAGUUUUUCUGCCUUUUUGUUUGGGUUUUAGAUGGCAGAUUUAUUAUACUCUGUAUACCUCUAUCAUCCACGCGCCUUCCCUCUAUCCUUGCUAGUAGUGCUUGUGAACUACACACGCUCAUUUUGGUCUCUUCGAAUUUGCCCUUGCUCCUCUGGUUCUUCUUUGCACAUACAAAAAAUUAUAGAUCCAAAUUCGAGCUACAAACAAUACUGUCCUUAAUGUUAUUUACCUUUCAACUCUUGAAGAGGGUUUCAUUACUAUUUGUUUUGCCCUUUGCUGGUUAUAAUUCAAGAUACAUAUGAGUGCUUUUAGCUGCACUCACAAUGAGUCGUUACAACCAGUUAUGUUAGCAACUUUUUCAUUUUCUCAA